rnacentral:rRNA from 1 species
AUGACAAUAAAAAAGGCGCAAUGCCAGACCAUCCCGAUUGUCAGCGUGUACCUAUCGGAAUCAGUAUUCUCCCAUGGUCAGCUGUACAUGGCGUUGUCCAGAGCUACCGCAAAGUCCAACAUUAAGAUUCUUGCAUUCAAAGACAAGUGGAAGGAACGGAGCAAAAAUUCUAAGAAGCGGAAAAUAUCCGAAUCCUUAAUAACGACUACGCAGAACAUAGCAUAUAAGGAAGUUCUUAAUGCUUCAUGUCACUUAGGCCAAAUUUGA